GAUCCUGCUGACUUAGUAAUAAAAACACAGCUUCAUAAAAUUUUAAUUCCAUUCACUAAUGAAGACAACAGGCAGGGAAAACGAUGGAAUUAUAAAUAGUUUUAUCUACUUUUUGUUCCACCAUGCUGGGAUAGAACCUGGGGCCUAUAUGUCACUCAGAAGGGUCUACUCCUGAACUACACCCAAGCUCAAGGAUGCUUCAGCAAAUACAUCUGGAAUAAACAAAGUAGAAAACAGGACCAUCCUACCAGUUCUGGUGCUAAGGUUCCCUUAACUUGAUUCCAUCAGUAGUGCAUGCUCUGUAAGCAGCUCAAGCACAAGUAGGAGUCACUGACCCAGGGGAGGGACAGUGACCAGUACCGGCACCUAGCACAGCACAGAGGGACAGGACGGCUGCAGGGCAGGGAGAAGGAGGGAGGGGACCCACCCAAGCAGCUGACCAAGAACCCCAUUAGAGAACAAGAAAAGGUCCUACCAUGCCCUCAGGGGAGACUGGGGAAGAGGGUGGAGGCUGGCAGAGGCUGAACUCUGUGGUUCAGGACUGGCCUGGGCUGAAUGGGGCUCACUUCUCAUGACUCAGAAAACACAUGCAAGAAAGAUGCAGUGUGGAAAAGAGGAAACCCACACACAGAAUUGUACAAUCUGAUUAAAAUAUUUAUUAGACAGGAAGUAAAUUAACAUAAUGAAGCCUCCAGGCCUGUGGGGCUUAUCUAUCUCUGUCUCCAUCUCUGUCUCUCAUGUACUUUAACUUUUCUCACAUGACUACUUGCUCAAGUUUUCAAAUAGGUGUAUUCUAGUUUAACCUGGUCUCUUUGGACUGGGGAAGGAGUCUAGAUUCCCAGACGUACUUCCUACAUAGUGUCAACACUUUACCUAAGGUGUUCUCACUUAAGGUAUACUAAGGUACCACCUGUGCCCAGAACCAAACUUCCCUUUACAGGACAACAAAAACACCAUUCACCCUCCACUAGACUCUGUACCUUAGGCUAACGAGGAACUUCUCAUAGUAGACACACCACGACUGGGAGUGGGAGAAUGGGAAAAGAGUGGCAGACCCCCAUGAGAAACAGUCGGGCCUUGGGCAGACAGGAGCAGGUUUCCAGAUGGGGGAGAAGGUAAGGCUGGGGUGUGGCUCAAAGUAGAGCAAGGCCUGGGUUCCAUCCCUGCCACGUCUGAGCUGCAACAGCCUCAUAUAUAGUGCUGAACCUGAGCCUCAUAAAAAAAAUCCAGUAACCCAACGGCAGCUGCCCCAGAAGAGCUGAGGCAGAGCGCCUGCUGGGGUUAAAAGGCAUGCACCCACGCAGCCUGUCACAGAGGGGCGGGAGGCAGUCAUGGAGGUGGAGGACCUGGCCACACAGGUGGGAAACACAGUCACGCAGGUGGGGGGACGUGGUCACAGGAGUGAAGGAUGUGGUCACAGAGGUGGAGGAUGAGGUCACAGAGGUGGAGGACCCAGUCACAGAGGUGGGGGCAUGUGGUCACAGAGGUGGAGGACCCGGUCACACAGGUGGGGGGAUGUGGUCACAGGGUGGGGAAUGAGGUCACAGAAGUGGAGGACCUGGUCAGAGGUGGGUCACAGAGGUGGGGAGACGUGGUCACAGAGGUGUGGGACACAGUCACAGAGGUGGAGGACAAGGUCACAGAGGUGGGAGGA